GGGAUUUUGCUCGCUUGGAGCUGUGGAGACGUGCUGAGGCAUAAACAAGAAAGACUGCAUACAUGCUCGAAUCACUCGGUUUAUUCGCAAACGGGUCUCGAAUCCACUCCUUUGCAGUUCGUGGGUCUUCGAGGUUGUAGGCUCAUCUUCUGGCUUGUCAGACUUUGAACAACCGAAGUGUGAGCUACAGGAAUGACGAUGCGGAAGCCAGUGAAGAAGGAGUUGGCCAAAGCUCUUUGGAGCCGGCCGCAGUGGCGAUGGAAAGGCCAAAGGUAACAGAGUCGGACUCGGUUCCCAUGACUCUCGAACUCCCUCGUCACGGCUACUAUACUGCCCGAGGACCCGAAGACAAGCACACAAAUGCGCCUGCAGUCUGUCAGCGAGAGUGACGCGAGGAGAAAGAACACGAUGGGGGGGAAAUGGAGUCUUCACAGAUACGGCCGUGUUGUUGUAGCUGCAUCGAAAAUGGAACUUCCUUCUCCUGUCUGAUAACAUUGUUUCAGACUUUUUUUGUGUUGACGCUCCUCCUGUGACAUUGGGCCUUUCGCAGCUAAUGCGUCAACAGCACACAAAUGCAGGUGAGGAAAUGGGUGAUGUACAUUCCACGCUGUCAACUUGUCAAAUACUGUACUGUAAUUUCUGGAGUGUAAUAUAAUUUUGUUUAUAGUAUGCCAAAACCACCUUGGAAGGUUUUCUUUGUACUAUGUGU